GGGCAUCCACAGCCUCUCUGGGCAGCUGUUCCAGCACCUCACCACUCUCAUAGAGUAGUGACAUCCAACCUCAGUCUUCCCUCCUUAAUCUUCCCCUUAAUGACUUUGUGACUUAAAAUGUUACUUCUCUUACUUUUCUUAUAAUAAAUGCUUUUCUUUAGAAUAUUUAGACCAACAGAUACUAAAAAAAUGCAUUUGAUCAUGGCUAAAGAGUCCAUUAUCUAUUUGGUUUCCCAUUUUAUUGCUGACACAAUAGAUGUAAGUUGUCUAAUUACACUGAAGUUUCCCAAAGUAUAUGAUGGCUCAGUCUGUAGAGUAUGCAAACGGUAUGUUAGCAAUUUUCAUUUGUUUCUUAUGAGUUUCUGAAGAUCACUUUUGAAUAGGUUUUCUUUGGCAUGCAGACUUGAGAGAGGGAAAGAGAACAGAAGGGAGCACAGAAUUGUGAAGUGGAGUGUGAUGAUGGUGAUCAAAUCUCCACAUGGAGAUGGACCAAAUCUGCAAUCUCCAUAACUCAGAAAGUUAAGGAAAUCCGGGGGGCUCUUCCAUCUGCAAAGGAAACAGCCACUGCUGCCGGUGGUUUCAUAGCUUAAAGGUUGAACUCGAGUGAAAAUGUUUGGAUUACGGAGGGAGAGAAAGGAAGACAAAUGCUGUGUAUAACCUCAUGGAAGGAAGACUUUAUGUUGUUCUCUUUCUGAUGAACAGAGGGUUUUGUAGUUUACCAACUGUACUGUUAGCUACAGACAACUGUCAUGGGGCUGCUUUGGUUUUGUGAGGCAAAAAUUGGGUUAGAUGAAUUUGAUCAAAUUUAGAGACUUAAAACACCUGCAAUUAAUAGUGUAAAAAAGGUUUGUACAGAAGCAAACUAAAAAGAAAAGGAAAAAUAUGUAAGUGAAUCAAAUAGUGAUUAGCUUAUGGAAGAGGUAAUAAAACAUCCAGGAGUAUAAAUAUAUCUGUAUUCUUAGUUGACCUCAGAAAAUCAGGUAAGUAUUAUUGCCAACACUACACUUAAACAUAGAUGAGGUUCUAUAUUAAUUCAGUCAUUAAAAUUUUGAAUUUCUUAUGUAAAGAUUGCUUGGAUAAUUGUCUCUGAUGGUAAGAGAUCUUGUAGAGCUUCAUGCCCUGGAUUCCAGCGGUGAGCUGACAUCUCUUGGAAGAAUCCUACCAGCCUUCCCAUUGAACCACUUGGCAAGAUGAUGACAACAGGAUGUAAUUUUAAAGACCUGUUGCUUUUAACUGUGAUGGCUGUGGGGUCAUUUUCACCCAAAGAAGAUGGUGGAAAGACCUAGAGAUGGUUGGAAGAAGAUAGACAAAGUAUGCAGCAAGUGAAAAAGCAGAGAAACACCACGCUUGUGAACACCAAGAAUUUAGCAUGGCUUAAGAACGGUUUAGGUAGAAAAGGUGCAGCUGAAGGAUGACAUGAAACCAAGCCACCAGAGAAUCUGGGGAAGUUCAUAACAAACGAAGUAAUGAAAACAUUCUGACCUCCCCCAAACGAUCUGUCUCCAAAACAAAUGACAGGAAACACACUGUGGUACAGCACAUUCUGGGCAAACCUCUCACUUCUUGUUUUUGAAGAGCUUGGGAGAGAAAAAUACUUCUUUGUAGUAGUAUUUUUCAGCUUUUUGCUACCCAUGAAUUAAUUGGAAACUGAAUGUAGAGCUGAAAUGCUCUGAGUGCAGAGGUUAUUUAAGAGUAGAUGCCCAUCUGCCAGCUGAUUGAAUCAGAAAACGCAUUGAUCCGGGAUCCUAAACAACUGCUGUGCUGUCCUACAUGACCUGUGGAUGCUAGCCAGUCUUCUGCUCUCUGUCAACAGAAUGUUUGAUGACUCAACCAUUUAACAGCACUGGACCAGAUAAUCAUCUGGAUGUUGUAAUAUCCUUGCUUGCUUUUGAGGUCUACCCCAGUGUCUGCUAUCACAAGGAGAAAAGGAAAAUUCGUACUGCUGAGGGGCAUUACGUGCUCAGCCACACAUCACCUGUCAGCAGACAGGACAGGAAGUGUCAGCCACUUUUCUUCAUGGUUGGACAAUCUUGGUUUGAUGCUUGGGAUUUCCACAGGUAUAAUUCAGAACUGUGGUGAGGCUUCACUUCUGCCCCAGCUUAGCCAGAACUUCAGUUUGCUUCUGUCGUUUGCGUAAAGUGAGCCUUCUAAAUAGGCCACAAGACUUUUGAACUCAAAAUACUAUGCUUUGUUAAAUCCAAGUACACGUGGAAUCUAAAAGCAAUUAAGGUGUUGGCUUAAGAGUGACUAGGUAAGACUGGGGUGAAGGAAUGAUUUAUUCGCAGCUCUCUUACUACCCACUGCAUACAGAGAGCUCCUCUUUGAGGCUUGAAUGUCUUGUUUUCUGCUAUAUGUGGCAGUCUCUGAUCUGCAAGUUCAUUGCUGUUUGUUAUGGCCAUUCUGCUGUGAUUUCCAUUCUGGAAGCUUGUCUCUUCUGAGCAUGCAUAGCAGCUUCUAGCAUAGGAUCAAAUCUCUUUCCUGAAGACAAAAGUAAUAGAUUGUGCCCCCCACACUGAUGUGUGAAAGGAGGAGGGAGGCUGCAAGCCCUAAGUACUACUCUUCAUGUCCUCUUUAAAAUGAAUGGCAGCAGCCCACGCAGCCAGAGCUGCUGUCUGUGGCUCAGUUGGAUGGCUUGUUAUUGUCAGAGUGCUCAUUUCAAGUCCAAACUUAAGGCCUUGUUUCUACAAAAUGGCAAAGUGGGCAUCUUUGCAUGGACAUGUGGCAGCAUUCAGAUGUGCACGUGAGACCCUCUUAUCAUCACUGCCCCAGCAAUGCCAGAGGCGGGAAGAUAACUCAGCACUGCCUUGGUCCAUUUUAGACUGACAAAAGAUGAGAUGGCUGUUGCAAUAUGUCAGCUGCUUUCACCUUUUAUAACCGUUUAUACCUUUUAACAGAGAGUAGCUUUGAGCAGCUUUUUUUGUUUGCACUAAUCAGUGCUGAAUCCCUGUAAACAGCUGCCUGGUGUUUCAAUUUGUUUGCAUGCACAUCAUAUCUAGAUUUUGGUGUGUGCUUUCUUGUUUAGUUUUUGCUUUCCUACAUAGCAUACAUCUUAUGAAAGACAUCUGAAUGUCUCUUUUAAAAAUAUUUUUUAUUUCCCAAUUAUUUUUAAUUUCCCAAAAUGAAGGUCAAGAGUUGCUGGAGUUCAGUUCACUGCUAUGUUGAGGGCAGCCUGUAGUUUCUGAAAUGCUGAGGUGCUGCAUGCUUUUCGUUUACACCAUUUUGUAUCUUGCUGUUUUGACACGAAGGAUUAAGUGUUAGUGUUUCCUGAGUAUGCUAAAUCUGCAAAUCUAAGCAGGAGGAUAGCUGAUGUUUUAACAAUAUCACGUUGUAGGGAGCUGGCAAAUUUUCCUCCUGAAUUUCACGUCCCUUUCGUAGCAAAUCUAAUAGAUGAGAAUGUAGAGUACUGGGUCAGUAUGUUCUGCACACGAUGGAAGACCAAUCGCCGGAGUGUGUUCCAUAACGGGUUAUCUCCUGGAAGCUGCGAUACAUCUGAUGUCAUUCUUUCUGCUCUAGGAUCAAACUGAGAGUGCCCCGCAUUGGCUGCGUGUGUGUGCUGUGACGGAGAUGUUCACUGUGGAAGCAGCUAAAAACCUGGAGAUCAUUUGGCAGCUGGACCCAGCAGAUGAGCAAAUGUGGCAUGUGAUCUAUCAGGUCCCCAGGCCGCCAGCAGCGGGCAUCAACCUCAUGGCUACCAAUGGAAGUGCCACAUACAGUGCUGAUGUUGACACUCUUUUGAGAAACAGAAGAAAAAUCACAACAGGAGACUUUGAGGGGAGAGGCCCCACUUACUGUAGAAGCCAUUAUUGACUGAUUUUGUGCUGAAUUAAGCCUUGACUAAGGAUCACUGGUGAGGACUGCGUUAGAGCUGCAGUUCAUAAAGAUGGAUGUAAAUUAUAACAGACUGCAAUGGGCUGAUGCAGACAUUUAGUUUGGCGAGUGGUGCUGGCAGGCUGCUUGCAUGAGUAGCCAGAAGCUCUGCAAUAGUUUUGGACCAGAGUGUGACUUAGAUCAUAAUUGGGUAAAGCAAUAGUCUACCAUGAAGGAACAGGAAGAGAAGAAAGGGAAAAUAACACUGCACAUCAUCUGCAGCAGCCAGUGUUCUUGCAUGGGUGUGCACCUGAGCAUGCCAGUCUGUGCUAACAGAAGCUGGAUGGCUCUAUCAUGCUGAUAGAGAAUGGAUCCUUCCCACAGCUGAGAGAACAGUGCCCGUCAAAGAGCUACUACAGGACUUCCAACUUGGUCAGGCAGUGCCUUUGGGAGGCAGCCAGUCCUGUGAGCACCUCCAUGUGACACGCCUGUGCUGGGAAGCAGCACGGCACUGAGCCAGUUGCCACAGAGGUUUGUUUCUAAAGGGCUUUCCUUGCUUUCUAUAGGAGCUUCUGUGCUGGUGUGCUUACAGCCCAAUAGAUCACAAAGAAGCUGGCACCCAUAGGAGAACAUAAAUGUCAGGGAGACGUGGAAGGAGCAACAUACGUUGUUCUUGUUUUAAUGUAAAUUAGCACAAAUCUUGCAGAGAGAUGUUCCUUUGCAAAUAUGAAUAACUGCUAAAAGUCAGCAUCAAGCAGUGGAAGAGUGGAGCAGAACAGAAGUUUUCAUAGUACUUUGUUCACAGCUCUUGGAAUAAAGAGUGUCUUGACCUGCAACAACUGUCUCAAUAACACUAGACAUACCAGUAGAGCUGGAAGAGGCAAUCUUGAGUUGGGCUGAAAGCAGAAAGUUAUUGCAUUUGUGUUUGCUUGGAAGCAGAUCCUGCAUGCUCACUCUUGGCAAUAACACAAUAACAUUUCAGUGCUCUGAAAGCUGUUUACACAUAUGAUACUUUAAUGCUAUUAACAAGAACGACUUAGAAAUGAAAUUCACUGCACAAAUGAUUGCUCUUUGCUGAGAGCUGUGUGCAUGGUCUUCAUCGCUCUGCAUGCCCAGGUGGCAUCACCUACUCUGCUGUUAAGAGGCUUUGCAAUUUGUGAAGUAAGUUAUGAUAGAUAAGGUGAGAAAAGCAAAGUCAAGUCAUUAUGAGAAAAGUAUUCUUACAAAUUACAGGCUGGCAUCUUGUAAUCUGUAUUCGAAGAGUGAGGCAUAAGAAGUGAAGCAGACAGGUAAGUGUGAAAGAAUUGUCAUGCUUUCAAAGCCUGAAGAGUUGAAGAUUACUCUUUCUUCCCUCCCUCAUGACAAAGUUCAAAACUUAUUGAAACUUAUAAAAACAGUUCUACCUUGUAGUCUUCCAGAUUAUAUUUGCUUGACAAAAGUUCCAAAGGAUGUAGUUGUCACAUCAGCUCGUAGGCCAGAGAAGCUUCCUAGCAAUGAGAUAUGGAUUUGCUCAAAAUACAUUUUCAGUUUCGUUGCACUUUAGAUUGAAGUUUUUUGUGUGUGAUUACCAAAACGAAGCAAGCUUCUCAAUAGUUCUGCCAUGGGUACAGCUCCUCAGCUCCAUCUGUGAAUGAUAAAAUGGUGCAAAAGAUGUUGCAUACUUCACAACUUCCAAAGCCUUGUAAUUCAACCCAGCAUCAUCCAGUCCUUCACCAGGGUUGUCUUCCAGUGAAGCUAUGCAAUGGCCCCAUUCCUCCAAGGUGUUACCAAGCAGUUCUCUAGGAAUAUUUUUCAAAAUAAGAAGAGAAUGGUUCAGCAAAGAGGUGGAGACUCUGAGCUGAGAUCUGAGGUUGUUUGCGAGGAGCCCAAUUUAGACAAAGGCCAUAUGUCAAAGUGCAUAUUUGCGUUACUAUUGUCACGCACACACAAAGAACUACAAAGACAGACAUUCUUGCGUGAUCUUGCGAUUCAAUUCCAUAUGAUAUUAAAGUAGAAAAAUUGUAUUUGUGAAAAUAGCAUAUUCACACCCUGCAUUUCUUUCCAGGCAGAGUAUUUUUGAGUCUAUGAGCAAUAUAUGUGAAAAAUAGUGGCUGCAUCAGGUAGCUAUAGUAACCAACAUCUACAAAUAAAUGACAAAAGAGUACGUAAGCUGUCCCAAGUGAUAGUGCCUGAAUUUGCAUUUUACCAGACGAUGACUUCGCUCAUUGCCUGUGACAUGUCAAAGCUGUCUAAACAAUGCAAGUAGGUUGUCUAGCUUUCCCAUGCUAUAUACCUUAUUCUGAGUUGCUUCCAGCUUUCACGAGCCUCCAGUUUUCAGGUCAAAGCUUGCCAGGUUCAUUCUCUAUGAAGUUGACCUUAAACUCUGAAUGGGGGCUGUACGAAACAGAUGAGAGGAAGAGGAGUUACUGUAGACUUAAAUAUGGGUAUGGUUGUUGGUAUUUUAAAAAACAUUGGCAGGGCUGCCAAUCACUGGAUCAAGUGCUAGACCAGGCUGCUCAGGGGUCCAUCCAAUGAGGUCCCUGGGGCCACCAAGUCUUCUCCUCAUCUGCCCUCAUUUUAGCUUCCCUGAAGCAGGAAUUCAAGAGAAACUUGUGGAAUUGUCAUUCAUCAUUUUAUGUCAGGCUGAACAAUUUCUUCAUUGAGUUAAGUGCUACUCGUACACUGGAACCUGAAUAAAUUGGCAACGCCAACUGCAUGAUGUGUGGAGAACAACACAAUGGGAGAACAUCUGCUGUCCCAACAGUGACCUGGAAGGAAAUCUAACAAUGUUGUUACGCUGGGGCUUGGCCAUGUGACUGAAUAGCUGUUAUUGUCCUGAAAGAUGGAAUUUGUGAAAACUGGGGGCUCCUGUAUUGGAGAUAAAUACUAGAAGAAGCUUUUAAGCCUCUACGGUGGAAACCUGGGAAUUCUGCAGCUUGGUCCUUUGUGACUGACAGUCUGAGAUCCAGGCAGGGCAAGAAAAGUAAACCAAAGCAACUUUAAUGAUUCUCUCAGAUUAGCACAAGCUAAAAAGAACUCUCAGCCAUUACCUGGAGGCUUACUGCACUUUGAGGUACUGCGUGCAGAAUUAGAUUUAUAUUUGCUUAAAUGAACUGGGAGUCCCAUGGAGGGAUCAUAGAAUCACCGAAUCACCAAGGUUGGAAAAGACCUCCGAGAGCAUCCAGUCCAACUGUCUGUCUACCUCCAGUAUUUCCCUCUAAACCAUGUCUGUCAGUACAACAGUUCUAAACAUUUCUUGAACACUUCCAGGGACAGCGACUCCAACACCUCCCCGGGCAGCCCAUUCCAGCACCUGACCACCCUCUUGGAGAAGAAUUUUUUCCUAAAGUCCAACCCGAAUCUCCCCUGGUACAACUUGAUGCCAUUAAUGAUUCUGACCAAGUUAAAAUCAUUCCAUCCAAUUCAACCGCUGUGCAACCAGCUUCACUGUAAGAAGAAAGACAAACGAGCAUAUAGAGUUAAUCAAAAAGUAUACAGAGUUAAUCAAAGUCUGGUGGUGACUGAUAAAGCAGCAACAUCCGGUAAGGUGCACUUCCCUAAUAAUAUGCACUACCCAGGGACACGUAAUGGUUUAAAAUAUGUGAAAGUGCAGAAGUGAAAACCAUCUAUAAAAUGUCAGACACAAUUUUUGAGCUCUGAGAGCUGCGCUGAAGCGUUGAUGAAAACGGUAUGUUAGGGUUUGAGACUGUGUGAGCUACGAGGGAAGGAGCAUGAGGAACACUUCAUCUCCAAGAAGUUCUCUGCGUGUUUCAAGGCUGAGUUCACCCAUCCACGCAUGCCCCUAUCCCAAGGCCAUGCUAUCAGUGGGCUUUACAGAGGCGGCAGCUCACUGUGGUGCAGGACAGGCAAGUGGAGGUCUCAGAGGAGGAAAGGAGCGUAGUAAGGGCUAUCUUGGAUCCUCCCGGGCUCUCUGCCGCUGCCUAACGUAGGCUGCAAAAGGUUGCUGCUUAAAUACAGCACAAGGCUACAGCACAGGAUAAAAAGAUGGGGUAAAAAUAAAAGGUAAACAUCCCACAUGCUGGGAAACAGAGAUUAUGAUCAGUGCCUCCACUAGACAGCCAUUAAGCAAAAGGAUGGGCUGUGUUAGAAGAGGAAAAGCUGCACAGUCCAUUCACGUUUCAGCUUUUUCAUGUUGGCACGUUUCUUUGCCACAUUACUGUCUUAAGAAGAGAAGAAGCAUUCCAGGCCUGCUCCAGAAAAGAGAUAACAAAAUCGCAGGGACUCGUAAGAAGCAGAUUUUACUUCCCAGAAGCAUGCUCAGAGGUGUAUUUACUCGCCUUGCUGUAGCUGCUGCACAGGAUUAAUUGGGAUGAUCAGCAAAAGAGUGACUGGAAAGUCAAACGUAAAGAAAGCGCUUUUUGAAGCCAUUUCUGCUUUCACAGCUAUUGGUUUUCUAUUUGGUUUUCUUCAUAAGAUUACUGUGACUGCUUUUCUUUGAUAGAUAGAAACCUCACAGUUCUCUGAUGUAUUCUUGGCUUUUACAACUGCUGGAUGAAGGUUGGGCUGAAACCACAGCUAUUUACCAAAACAAUUCACAGGACUUCUCUAUGCAGGAUGGCUUUAAACCAUAAUGGAAUAUAGAAUUGUGUUGCUUUUGCCCUUUUGGCGUUAGUUUUAAGUUCCACUUGUUGCAUUACCAGUCUGUGCCGUCCCCACAGAAAUCAAAGGUGAGGCGCUUUGGC